GAAAUACCUUUACUUCAGCCAGUGUUCUGGGGUCCCUCCAAACUGGGACCUCUGUGUUUGAUUGGCUUUUUGGCCACACAGGCCGUGUGAAAUUCAGCCCCAAUACUCAUGAACACAGGUUUGUGGCUGAAAGUUCUGGAGAGGACUUUUCUUUUUUUCUACUCACUGGAGUCAAAGUCAACACAGGCAUCACCACAUAAUUUCCCCUCUGUGUGGGAGUGAGAGGGGGUGGAGCUCUCACUUCACCCACAAAAGGAGAUGCCCUUUGGAGAUACAGGUUUUGUGUGGGCUUCAGAUAGAAUCUCACCCUUCCUACCCAAAACGUGUCUGUCUUCCACGUUGUAGGCCCAUGACCCGUGAAGAGCCGGCUCCCGGCCAAAGGGGCCACAGAGGGCCCAGGGCGAAUGCAAGCUCCAGCCUUGCCUUCUCCCACCUGCUUUCCAUUCUGGCCUCUGAGGAUUCUUCUUACCUUUCUUCCAAACCAACUGUUUAUUUAAAAGGUAUUUUUGAGUAAUUAUCCAGUAUCAUAGGUGUUCUAUACCAGAAUAAGGGGUGCUGGACAUUCUUGCACCUGUAUCAUCUGGAGAUUGCUUCUUCUCUCCUUUAUUUUUUUUCUCUCUCCCUCUUUCUUUUUCACAGGCCACAGUCUUCCAUCCCUCCGAGGCCAAUGGCAUUGGGGUCUCAGAGGCUUCCAGACUGACUCUCUGGAAUUCAGAGUUCUGCAUCCCAUGCUCAGCCUAGCUCAAUACUUCACGCAGUACAUCUACAAGAGAAUUCCCUACAUCUCCUCGAACUAGGUGAUCUGGCAAACGGAGGGCACACAUGCCAGUGGGGUAGAGCUGGAGAGGCUCUAGGGGAGAACAUGGCCACUUCCUCUUAUUGUGCAGAGCAGGAAACUGAGGCAUGGCACAUCAGGGCUCAGCACUCCAGCCAGAACCUGCUCCUUGCAUACAGCCAUGAGAAGCGUUGAAAGAAUGACUAAAAAGCAGUUUUAAAAAUAGCUGUUGGGCCGGGCGCGGUGGCUCAAGCCUGUAAUCCCAGCACUUUGGGAGGCCAAGGCAGAUGGGUCACGAGGUCAAGAGACUGAGACCAUCCUGGUCAACAUGGUGAAACCCCGUCUCUACUAAAAAUACAAAAAAUUAGCUGGGCAUGGUGGUGCGUGCCUGUAAUCCCAGCUACUCAGCAGGCUGAGGCAGGAGAAUUGCCUGAACCCAGGAGGCGGAGGUUGCGGUGAGCCGAGAUCGCGUCAUUGCACUCCAGCCUGGGUAACAAGAGCGAAACUCCGUCUCAAAAAAAAAAAAAUAGCUGUCAGUUCCUCCUCCCAGUCAACCUGUGCAUAGCUCUUAUUCACCAUGAAAAGAAAACACAUGCAGUGUGCUAUUCACUUAAAGUGAAACUCCAGAUGAAGUCAUACAUUGAACCCCAGUAUUGCCCAUUGUUUGUAAUCAAUGACUCUGAGCAAAUGGAGUUUCAUGAGGCCUCUGUGUGCCAGCUGUCCAUGAGAGGGGGUUUCCAAAGGCCUUUCUGGCUGGCCCUGCAGCGUAGGUGUCACCUGUGUGGGCAUGCCUUUGUGGCCCGGUCACUCAGUGUGGGAUCUCCAAAGCCUAGGUGUGGGACAGGAGUUUUGUGUGCAAAGCUGAAUUCAAGGAACUCUCAAGACGGUUCAUGUAGGUUUUCCCUCUGGGCCUCCAGUGAUAACUCCAGACAGCACAGGGUCAGGUGUUGUCCCCCCGUCUGGCUGCCUUACCCCUUGCCCAGAACACGAGCAGGUCCCAAGGCAUUACCCGGGACACUAGGAAGCCCGUCUUGUGGAGCUUGGGGCUUCAUGCUUCUCCUGGCCAGGGCCUCUAACCUCUCCGCUCCUGUGUCCACUCCUCCAGGAGAAUCUCCGCCUCCCUCAGUAUCUGGCAGAUUGCUUGCUGUUCUUGUGCUUUUAUAACUUUUGCUGUCUUGGCCAACUGGAGUCCACAUUACUGUCUCCUCAAGUGUUUCUGUGCCAGGGAGGGGACUAGGAAAGCAGGGCUGCAGGGCCUGCUCAGUGGGUUCUAAGAUGUGUGUGGAUUCCAAAUGGGCCUGUGUAGGCUCCCACUGAGAGGAAGAUGGCCCUCAGGAAGUGGUUGGCUCUCCUUGUCAACAGGUCCUCAGAACAUCCCUUUCAGUCUCCGCUUGAAGAAACCCUUUCAAGCCAGGUCCUUGCUCUUCUGCCGUCAAGGAGCUUGACUUUUUCCAUUGUUGCUCACAUUCCAGCCUGCCAAGGUUGUUUAGUGCCGGCCCGGUCAUCCGAGCAUCCCAUACUCUUCUCAUGGACUCAUUCCCCUGAGGAAGUGGAAGGUUGUACCACACGGGACUCCCUAAUAUCAAAGAAGAAGGUGAAAACUUGCCUGUCAGCUGCCAGAGUGGGAUGUUCCCACACGCCGAGACCAUAUUUGGAAAAGGCUCAAACAAGACCCCUCCACAACCACACAACUAAACAUCCUCGCCUCUGAUCAGCACGAGGGACUGCUGCUGCUUUCGCAGUGAUGACUCUCGCCCACUUCAGUCCUCCCAGGUUACCUUAAGUUUCCUGAGCUACCUUGAAGAGUGGAAGCCAAAUGAAGACCACCAAGGGAAAGGGCAGAGACCCUGCCCUAUUCAUCUUUGUAUCCUCAACAACCGGCCCUGAGCAGGAGGCAGAGGGGCAACAUGUGCUUUCUAAUACCUGGCACGUGAGUGAGCAACAGUCGGGCGAUGCAUGGCUUGUGUACAAGAGUGACACACAAUAGUAGCAAUGACCAGUGAGUAUUCAACAGCUAAUGCGGCAAGGGAUGGCUCACUGCGGAAUAAAGGGGCGCUUUGGUUUUAGCCUGCAAUGAGUCUUUUAGGACUUCCGCCUCAACAUAUUGAGGUUUCAAAAUAAUCCAACCCAAGCUAGGUUCCCAGAGAAUGACAGACACAUUUUCACAUGUGAAUCACAGAUGGAUUUCACUUACUUAAAAAGAAGACAAACCAUUAAAUCAUCUCUCUGUCACACACACACAUACGUGAGCUUUUGAAUAUGACAACUGUUGCUCAAUUCACACCCUAACUUGCUUCCUUUGGUGAAAUGCCACAGCCCUGGAAUUGCAGCCAUGAUGGGAAUGUGUGAUUUCAACAAACGUUAGCUUCUUCCUGGGAUCCAGACAUACACUUAAGCUAUAGACUAGGUACUGGCUUCAAGGAAGCAUCCCUCUCAGCCUCUUCUGUGUGCGGGUAGAAUUAACUUACACUGUAUUUACAGAAUCUUGAUCAUUGAUCUAAAACACUUUUGAAAGGAGAAUAAGUGAACCUCCCAUUAAACCCAUUCAAAUUAUUAAAAGAUAUACCUCGUUGUGCUCAAUUUAGCUUCAAGGAUGUUCCAACUUUGUCAAAAAUAAAUGCGCUGAAGGCACUAAAAUAAUCUGAAGUCUCUUUCCUGAGUAGAGUGUCAAACUUCGGACUGAGCACAGCAUCUACAUGUGCUCUUUCUAAACUGAAGCUUUUCCGCAGGUUCCAUCACCAAGUGUUACCGACUGAGUGAAAUGAGUGGACACCAAGCACUCCCUCCGGCCAAACGGUCACUUGAGGCCUGUCGCUUGCUCUACCAACUACAGCUGCACCACAGUAAACAGCCAAAUAAAUACCUUGUACAGCCACAUCCAGAUGCAGGUCUUCAUUACCUUCAAACACAGAUGAAAAUACGAUUGUGAUUUAC